ACCAGUCCUUCAUAUGGUUUUUGUAUAUUUUUCGUUAAAUAAAGAGCAACUAUAUUUAAUAAUAAUUGUAGCUCAUCAAUUUAUACGUGCAUUAAUAGACAAUUAACUAAAAUUUUAAUUAUUUCCUUACGCUUUUCCUGGAGUCACUUGAUCAUAAAAAUAACACAAUUUUAACGUGUCCAAGUAAAACACUUUUGUAACCAAAGCCGGAUCUUUUUUAGAUUCCUCCACAGUUUGGAAAGAACUACAUAUUAAUUAAUUAACUAGUUAUCCCCUGACAGUGCUUAUUUAACUUCAGCAUUGUCAUGUCUAACACAGAAACUAACUUGGUAUCUAAUAAUAUGGAAGUUUUGCCUCCAGAAAUACUGGAUCUUUCACAUUUUCUGAUAUACAUGGGGCAGACGUUAAGAGAGCAUGGGAAACCAGAAAUCGGAUUAAUGUUUAUCCAUGCAAAUUCUGGCGAUGGAAUCAAAUUUCGCGUAAAUAUUUCGACCCCACUGGCAAAUUUGAAGCCAAUCUGUGCUGCAAAAUCUAAAGUGAAACUAUCCGAAUUGCGUUUCCUAUACGAUGGUAAACGCAUUCAGGACGAUCACACUCCACAAAAGUUGGAGAUGGAAGAAGGUGACGUUAUUGACAUUUUCAGGGAAAUUAAUUCAUUCCGUGCAUAUGAUUCCCGUGAAGAAUUUAUGAACGCUUUGGUACUUCAAGGCUCAUGGAGUUAAAUUCCAGGUUUCAAAAGUUAUCGACCUGUGCAACAUUCACACGCCAAGAAACAAAUUAUAUGUAGUUUGAACAUCUUCUCAUUGUCAAUCUAUACUGUUACAUAAAGCAUUAUUAGAUUUCACUAACAAUGCGAUGUAUUUACUUUGCCGUCGCGUCAAAAUAAAUUUAUGUCACACAUUAGUGGGACAUGUGCAACGUACAGUGGGCGUACUCACGACAACGUCUUAUUUCGCAUCGCAACUCAUUUAGCAAACUUGCGAAGAUUAAAAUAUUUCUGUAGUGGGGUGACUCGCAAAAUAUGACUUCGCAAAUCUCGCAAGUCUAUUGGAAACCUCUAUUUUGGUAUUGUUUCAAUGGAUUUCUGUAAUAUCUUUUGCUGACAAUGGAGAGGAUGAAUUUGCGAAAGGCUAAUUUUGCGAAGAUAGAACGUUCAUUUGCUGGGUAAAUUUGUGAAAAAAAAUCCUUUAUUUAUCCAGCAAAAUUUUUGCGAAAUACCGCAAAUUUCGCAAAACUUCAAUAUUUGGCUAUGCUAAAUUAACGAGAUAUGCAAAAUAUGAGAAGGUUGACGUGAGUACGCUCAGUAUAAAAGUAUUUUAUAAUCUUUAUAUUCCAAGUGGUUUGUCAAAUUACUUGGUAAAUAAUGUUGUGGAAGUGCACACUUAACAUAAAUAAAGCUAAAUAGGUUUCUAAUAAUCACGUUGAUUUAAUUCAUAAUUAAUGAAUAUAUUUAUGCAGAUGGGCACGAAGAAAAUAUUAUCAAUUAAAUAUUUUAUUUAAAAAAAUAGAUCUAUCUAAACGAUAAUGUUAUGUUUUAACGAUUUACUUUUCAUGCAGCAAUUCAUUUGGGUUAAUCAAAU